UUGAAAUUUUAUUCUAAUUUUUAUAAUAUGCGGUGACAACCAUAUUCAAGCCAUUAAAGUCAAUAAAAUAGGAUAAAAUAUUUUCAUAAGUAUUGUAAUACUUCACUUGGGCACUUUAAACUGCGAUUUAAUAAGUCUCAAAUUAGCCGACGGCAAAUGAACUGUUGCCUACAAUUGCGCGCGUUUUGAGAAUUGCAAUUGAUGUCGGAUGAAAUGCGGAUGGAUAUAUUCGGAUAAUCGGAAAAUGUGAGCCUCGUUUGGCUGGUUGCAUGCGAACGUGAACGUGUUGCAAACUCAACUGAAUUCAAAAGUUGCUGGCAGUAAAAUUUUUACAAUAUCUGCAGCAGCAGCAGCAACGACAGCAGCAACAAUCAAGCGUCGACGUCGCAGCAGCGCAGCUUUGUCUCUGCCUCUGUGAAUGGUUGUGUGUUGAAUUGGUGCUGUGAUUUUUCUCUUGCUCUUGUGGGAUGCGGUUCUCUUCAUGUGUCUGCUUUUUUCCGGGAUUUACACAGCGUCGACAGAGGCAGCGACUGUGACGGCGACAGCGACUGCGACAGCAGCAGCAACACCGACAGCAACAGCAACAGCAGCAGUUGCUGCUGCGUAACAUCAUCAUCAUUCAGAUUGUCAGGAGCAACCACCAGCAGUUACAUAAAAACGCAAGCACCCUGCCAACAAACCGCCCACCUAUCGCAGCAACCACUCCCCCCACCGUCCAUCCCCGUUUGCCCCUUUUGCCUCCUUGUGGCACGUUGUGCUCAUUUGUGCCGCAUUCGACGCGAGUGUAUGAAAAGUUAUUGAAAUUAUUAAAUAAAUGGAUAAUUGGCUGGUUGCUGGGCGAGUGAGUGGAUGGAUGGUUGGGUGGGUGGAAGGAUGGUUUGCUGGAUACGUCGAGAGGGCGGUGCCAGGAUAACGCAGGCAAAAACAAUAUGGCGCAGCGUUAUUUAUAGUACUUUGUGGGGGCAAAAAAAAAACAACGGAAGGGCAACUAAUUAAUUAAGCAAUAUUCUAUGGCAAGAAAAUUACUGAAACAUUUAUGACUGCGAUACUAAAGAUGAUGGAUGAACGUAUUAUCUUUUAUAAUAUAUCAAAUUUAUGAGUGAAUCACUAAAUGUAAAAAACUAUAGUCUCAGAAUACUAUAUAUUUUAUUUAUAAGCUCCUCACACUGUUGCUAUGCAACUCUUUCUUAAAGCCAAAGUCGCCUUAAAUUUACCACUUGAUAAACUACUCGAAAUACCAACGAUCAUUAUCACGAGAGAAACCCCAAUUAGCGCCCAUCAAAGUGAAUCAAUGCACAACAAAAGGAAAAAGGAAAAAGCAAAAAGGAAAACGGCACGAACAAGAAAAAUGGAAAUGAAAUACCAAGUGCUUGGUGAGACGUGGCUGAGUCGAGACCAUGCGAUGAACUUUAAAUCCGCCACGAGAUACAACAUUUUAAAUCAAAGUCAGGCAUUUUACCGAAACGAAGAAAUGCGUUCGUAUUCCGUCUUUCUCGGCUCUCUCUCUCUCUCUCUCUCUCUUGAGUCUGAAACUGGAGAACUGAGAAGCUGAGAAUGAGAAUAAGGAUGAGGCGACACGUUUGUCGUUUCAAUCAUCAUUAGUGCUAAUGUACCCACAAGAAUUGGGCAGACGCCUGGCAUGGAGCAAAGUGGGAAAAUGGGCAAAAUGGCACCGAAAGCCGAGGGAGAGAGAAAAAUUUCGGCUGCUGUCGCUGCUGCAGCGGAGCGAGAACGAGAGCGAGAGACACGAGAGCUUAAUACAAAUACAUGUAUAUUUGCAUGUGUAUGUGUAUGUGUCUGUGUGUGUAGUAAAUGGUGCAUGUAUUUUGUAUAUAGGGUAAAAAAAAAAAAUUCCACACGUUACAAGUGGCCCAUGUGUGUGUGUGUGUGUGUCUGUGCGGUGUGUGUGUGUGUGAGCUAGCUUCUGCGCAUGUGUCCGUGCAUCUGUUGGAAUGAGAAGGCGUCGCAGCCGCAGUCGCUGUCGUCGCCAUUGUUGCUUGGCCUUUUGAUAAACUUCGCAGCUUGCAGCGAUAGAGCUGGAGAUGAAGACGGCGACAGAGACGAAGACGAAGACGAGAACGGAUGGCAGGGCAGGGGAAAAGCGGUGGCUCAUCAUAAUGACGAUAAUGAUGUUCUUCUUGCUGCUGCUGUGGGAGCCAUAAUAUUUAUUUAUUUUCGAAUAAAAAUAAACAUAUACAAAAUGAAUAAAUGCAAAAAAGGGCAAACAAACUUUCAAGCAAGGCAAAAGU